GAACAGUUGAGUUUGGUAGUUCCGUCAGAGAGGAUGAGACAGAGAGGAGAGAGAUCCAGCUGCAGUCAGGUGACAGAGAGAGUGUUGCGGGAGGGGCCCGCUGCCCCGCAACGGAGGGACACAGUCAGGCUACCGGAAUCACUGUGGCAUUCGGACAAGGCACCAAGCUGAUUGUGACAAGCUCAAGCUUCCCUCCUCCUGUGCUGACAGUCUUCCCUCCGUCCAGCGCUGAGCUCCAGUCCAACACAGCCACUCUGGUCUGUCUGUCCAGUCAGUCUGUGCCUUUUGCAGAUGUGAGCUGGGUGUCUGGUGGGAGUCCAGUGAGCAGUGGGAUCUCUACCAGCACCGCUGUUCAGAAACCAGACCAGACUUUCCAAAUCAGCAGCUAUCUGGCCAUCCAGACGUCAGACUGGAACAUGGAUAAGGUUUACACAUGUAAAGUGUCUUUGGGCUCCCAGACUUCAGAGAAAAACAUCAAGAAGUCAAACUGUCCCACUGAAUAAUAGCAGAGGAGCAGAAUGACCAUUUCUAAUCUGCUUCUUUACUGUUUGUGCUGUUUGCUCAUUACAAGGUUUACAUGUUAGAAAAGAUAUGUCUGCAUGCUUGUAAUAAAUGUUGUGACAGUUAGGUGGAGGUGUUGUAUCAGCUUUGCAACUGCUGCAUUUUUCCAGACUUAUUCAAUAAAAAGACAUUGUGAUCAAAAAA